AGUGAACGCUGGCGGUAGGCCUAACACAUGCAAGUCGAACGGCAGCACAGUAAGAGCUUGCUCUUACGGGUGGCGAGUGGCGGACGGGUGAGGAAUACAUCGGAAUCUACUUUUUCGUGGGGGAUAACGUAGGGAAACUUACGCUAAUACCGCAUACGACCUACGGGUGAAAGCAGGGGAUCUUCGGACCUUGCGCGAUUGAAUGAGCCGAUGUCGGAUUAGCUAGUUGGCGGGGUAAAGGCCCACCAAGGCGACGAUCCGUAGCUGGUCUGAGAGGAUGAUCAGUCACACUGGAACUGAGACACGGUCCAGACUCCUACGGGAGGCAGCAGUGGGGAAUAUUGGACAAUGGGCGCAAGCCUGAUCCAGCCAUACCGCGUGGGUGAAGAAGGCCUUCGGGUUGUAAGGCCCUUUUGUUGGGAAAGAAAAGCAGCAGGUUAAUACCCCGCUGUUCUGACGGUACCCAAAGAAUAAGCACCGGCUAACUUCGUG
rnacentral:rRNA from 1 species